rnacentral:rRNA from 1 species
AGGGUUUGAUUCUGGCUCAGGAUGAACGCUGGCGGCGUGCUUAACACAUGCAAGUCGAACGAAGCACCUUAGACAGAAGCCUUCGGGCGGAAGACUUUGGUGACUUAGUGGCGGACGGGUGAGUAACGCGUGGGUAACCUGCCCUGUACUGGGGGACAACAGUUGGAAACGACUGCUAAUACCGCAUAAGCGCACAGCAUCGCAUGAUGCAGUGUGAAAAACUCCGGUGGUACAGGAUGGACCCGCGUCUGAUUAGCUAGUUGGUGAGGUAACGGCUUACCAAGGCAACGAUCAGUAGCCGACUUGAGAGAGUGAUCGGCCACAUUGGGACUGAGACACGGCCCAA